UAAGAAAGGCACUUCUCUUUCCUUCC
rnacentral:piRNA from 1 species